rnacentral:rRNA from 1 species
GCUACAGGCUUAACACAUGCAAGUCGAGGGGCAGCAUGGUCUUAGCUUGCUAAGGCCGAUGGCGACCGGCGCACGGGUGAGUAACACGUAUCCAACCUGCCGUCUACUCUUGGACAGCCUUCUGAAAGGAAGAUUAAUACAAGAUGGCAUCAUGAGUCCGCAUGUUCACAUGAUUAAAGGUAUUCCGGUAGACGAUGGGGAUGCGUUCCAUUAGAUAGUAGGCGGGGUAACGGCCCACCUAGUCUUCGAUGGAUAGGGGUUCUGAGAGGAAGGUCCCCCACAUUGGAACUGAGACACGGUCCAAACUCCUACGGGAGGCAGCAGUGAGGAAUAUUGGUCAAUGGGCGAGAGCCUGAACCAGCCAAGUAGCGUGAAGGAUGACUGCCCUAUGGGUUGUAAACUUCUUUUAUAAAGGAAUAAAGUCGGGUAUGCAUACCCGUUUGCAUGUACUUUAUGAAUAAGGAUCGGCUAACUCCGUGCCAGCAGCCGCGGUAAUACGGAGGAUCCGAGCGUUAUCCGGAUUUAUUGGGUUUAAAGGGAGCGUAGAUGGAUGUUUAAGUCAGUUGUGAAAGUUUGCGGCUCAACCGUAAAAUUGCAGUUGAUACUGGAUAUCUUGAGUGCAGUUGAGGCAGGCGGAAUUCGUGGUGUAGCGGUGAAAUGCUUAGAUAUCACGAAGAACUCCGAUUGCGAAGGCAGCCUGCUAAGCUGCAACUGACAUUGAGGCUCGAAAGUGUGGGUAUCAAACAGGAUUAGAUACCCUGGUAGUCCACACGGUAAACGAUGAAUACUCGCUGUUUGCGAUAUACUGCAAGCGGCCAAGCGAAAGCGUUAAGUAUUCCACCUGGGGAGUACGCCGGCAACGGUGAAACUCAAAGGAAUUGACGGGGGCCCGCACAAGCGGAGGAACAUGUGGUUUAAUUCGAUGAUACGCGAGGAACCUUACCCGGGCUUAAAUUGCAGAUGAAUUACGGUGAAAGCCGUAAGCCGCAAGGCAUCUGUGAAGGUGCUGCAUGGUUGUCGUCAGCUCGUGCCGUGAGGUGUCGGCUUAAGUGCCAUAACGAGCGCAACCCUUGUUGUCAGUUACUAACAGGUUCCGCUGAGGACUCUGACAAGACUGCCAUCGUAAGAUGUGAGGAAGGUGGGGAUGACGUCAAAUCAGCACGGCCCUUACGUCCGGGGCUACACACGUGUUACAAUGGGGGGUACAGAGGGCCGCUACCACGCGAGUGGAUGCCAAUCCCCAAAACCUCUCUCAGUUCGGACUGGAGUCUGCAACCCGACUCCACGAAGCUGGACUCGCUAGUAAUCGCGCAUCAGCCACGGCGCGGUGAAUACGUUCCCGGGCCUUGUACACACCGCCCGUCAAGCCAUGGGAGCCGGGGGUACCUGAAGUGCGUAACCGCGAGGAGCGCCCUAGGGUAAAACUGGUGACUGGGGCUAAGUCAUA